rnacentral:misc_RNA from 1 species
CCGUACCUAUCGUUGCUUCGGCGGGAACGCCCCGGCGCCCUGCGCCCGGAUCCAGGCGCCCGCCGGAGACCCCAAACUCUUGUGUUUUUUUCAGUAUUCUCUGAGUGGCAAACGCAAAAAUAAAUCAAAACUUUUAACAACGGAUCUCUUGGCUCUGGCAUCGAUGAAGAACGCAGCGAAAUGCGAUAAGUAAUGUGAAUUGCAGAAUUCAGUGAAUCAUCGAAUCUUUGAACGCACAUUGCGCCCGUUAGCAUUCUAGCGGGCAUGCCUGUCCGAGCGUCAUUUCAACCCUCAGGGUCCCCGUUCCGGCGGGGAACCUGGUGUUGGGGAUCGGCCCGCCCCGUGCGGCGCCGUCCCCCAAAUUCAGUGGCGGUCUCGCUGCAGCCUCCCCUGCGUAGUAGUUACAACCUCGCAUCGGAGCUCAGCGCGGCCACGCCGUAAAACCCCCGACUUUCUGAACGUUG